AGUUUCGGGUGAAAGGUGAGUCGGGAGGACGUAGAGAGAAGACGUUGGUAGUGGCAGCAGAGGAGUGCCUUCACCUCUUUCCCUAAAACAUGAGAGAAUCAAUGAGAAGAAGAUUCUAGAAGUCACCAAGAAGAUCAUUGAUCUGCUGACAGGAGAGGUUCCUAUAAGGUGUCAGGAUGUCACUGU